UAAACACCGUGUAUGGAGUACCAAAGAGCAAGGCCAAAGAGUACAGACAAAGCCCAAAUUCUAUUCUAGUUUUAUGACAAAGCCCCAGGCAGUCACGCACGAGGCAUAAUAAUAGGUUACUUAUAGUCUAUUAGUAUUGUAGAAUAUAGUUCUACCGGCGCCACCGGUUGGUACUACUACUAAUACUAUCACUAUCAGCCAGACUCCGGCCUCAGACCACUCAGAUGCAUGCUAGCACCAUGAUGAACGGACCUUGGCCGGACAUGCGAGGUAUUUGCUAACGGUCACAUGUCAACUUAACUGGCCGACAAACCCGGCCAGUGUGGCUCACUCGCUGGCCUGGAGGUGGGACAGCUUGACUCGCCGGCUAACACGUGGCUGGAUGGAAGCAUGGAUGGAUGGAUAGCUAGAUAGACAGUCUGACAGACAGACAGAUGGACAGAUAGAUAGGUAGGUAGA